CAUGGUGCCUGUUAAAAUGAGCUCUCUGCUGCCUGGGAAUCAUGGAGGCUGCUGGUAUCUUCUCAUUUGGUUUAGGAUGGAGAUGGCUCAGUUUUCUUUCAGCCCAGGUACUGCAUUUUAUGUUCCUCACCUCCUUACUGGUGAAUUUAUUGAAGCCCUUGCUCCCAAUCUGUCUAUUUCAUGGAAUAGUUCCUCCAGGAAUUUGGGUUGUGAGACACCUGGCCUUGUGGCUUGAUCACAGGAAGAUCUUAGAUAUUCACUUCUCUCUCAGCUGUGCUCAGCACCAGUCCUGGAAGAAGAGGAGUGUUGGAGCUGAACUUGCUUUACCCCUCACAGACACUACCCUCCAAUCAUACUGCAGAGAUGCUUCCUGGGCAGGUAGGUGUCAGAAGUGCACAAGCUGGGG